AAUGCGUCCCAGGGCGGCCCCGCCGCCUUCCUGCGGGGCAUGGCUGCGGGGCCGCGUCAGCCGCCGCACCGGCAGCGACACACAGACAGACAGACACCGACACACAGACAGACAGACACCCCCAGACAGACAUAGACACACACCGGGACACGCGGGCGAGAGGUGCAGCAUAAAGAAAGCGGCGGCGCGGGGCCUUUGCACUAUUUUUGGUGGCGGUUCCUGUUGCAGGAAAAGAAAAAAAAAAAAAAAA